rnacentral:rRNA from 1 species
AGAGGUGGCGAGCGUUGUUCGGAUUUACUGGGCGUAAAGCGCACGUAGGCGGCUGAGCAAGUCGGGUGUGAAAUCCCUCUGCUUAACAGGGGAACUGCGCUCGAAACUGCUCGGCUCGAGGAUAGGAGAGGAGAGUGGAAUUCCCGGUGUAGCGGUGAAAUGCGUAGAGAUCGGGAGGAACACCAGUGGCGAAGGCGGCUCUCUAGCCUAUUCCUGACGCUGAAGAGCGAAAGCGUGGGGAGCAAACAGGAUUAGAUACCCUGGUAGUCCACGCCCUAAACGAUGGGCACUCAGUGUGGGAGGUAUCGACCCCUUCCGUGCCGCACCUAACGGAUUAAGUGCCCCGCCUGGGGAGUACGGCCGCAAGGUUG